rnacentral:rRNA from 1 species
UUAAAAACGAAUUUUUUAUUGCUAGGGUAGUAUUAGUUAAAUUCUUGAAACUCAAAAAAUUUGGCGGUAUUUUAGUCUAUUCAGAGGAACCUGUAAUGUAAUUGAUAAUCCACGUUGGACCUUACUUAAUUUUGUUUUCAAUUUGUAUACCGCCGUUAUUAAAAAUUUUAUAAGAAAAAUAAUUUUUAUAAAUUUUUAUAAAAAAGUAAAUCAGGUCAAGGUGCAGUUUAUAAUUAAGUAUUAUAUGGGUUACAAUAAAUUUAUUUAUAUGAAUUAAUUUUUGAAAUUAAAUUAUGAAAGUGGAUUUGAUAGUAAUUUUUAAUAGAUUAUAAAAUUGAUU